rnacentral:rRNA from 1 species
AGCUAAUACUUGCUUUAGCACUCUUGAUUAAGUUCUUGAGUGUGUACUUGUUAAGCCUUUUAAGAAAAAAGUUAUUAACUUAAGGAAUUAUAACAAAGAAGUAACACGUAAAUGGAUUUUCCAUUUUUUAGUGUGUAUCAAUCGAGUUUCUGACCUAUCAGCUUUUGAUGUUAGGGUGUUGGCCUAACAUGGCUAUGACGGGUAACGGGGAAUUAGAGUUCGAUUCCGGAGAGGGAGCCUGAGAAAUAGCUACCACAUCUAAGGAAGGCAGCAGGCGCGUAAAUUACCCAAUUCUAAAGAAGAGAGGUAGUGACAAGAAAUAACAAUACAAGGCCAAUCUGGCUUUGUAAUUGGAAUGAUGGGAAUUUAAAACCUUCCCAAAACCCAAUUGGAGGGCAAGUCUGGUGCCAGCAGCCGCGGUAAUUCCAGCUCCAAUAGCGUAUAUUAAAAUUGUUGCAGUUAAAACGCUCGUAGUUGAAUUUCAAAGAAUCGAUAUUUUAAGUAACGCUUUGUAGAUUAAUCCACAUAACUGAUACUACGUAUCGACUUUGUGCGCAUUUUUCUACUUAUGUGUUCUUUUAAUUAAAAUGAUUCUUUUUAAGAUCUUUCUUUUUUGCUUCGGCAUUUUAGGAGAUCUUGUUACUUUGAGUAAAUUAGAGUGUUCAAAGCAAACAGAUUAUAGCAUCUUUAUGCGUUUGAAUACUACAGCAUGGAAUAACAAAAUUGAACAAGUCAGAAUUUUGUUCUUUUUUCUUAUCUUGGCUUAGUUACGAUUAAUAGGAGUAGCUUGGGGGCAUUUGUAUUCAGAUGUCAGAGGUGAAAUUCUUAGAUUUUCUGGAGACAAACAACUGCGAAAGCAUUUGCCUAAAAUACUUCCAUUAAUCAAGAACGAAAGUUAAGGGAGUGAAGACGAUCAGAUACCGUCGUAAUCUUAACCAUAAACUAUGCCGACUAGGCUUUGGAUGAAAGAUUUUAAAAUAAGAGUUUUUUCUCUAAGGAGUUAAAACUCUUAGAUUGCUUCCUUCAGUGCCUUAUGAGAAAUCAAAGUCUUUGGGUUCUGGGGCGAGUAUUCGCGCAAGCGAGAAAGUUAAAAGAAUUGACGGAAGGGCACCACCAGGCGUGGAGCUUGCGGCUUAAUUUGACUCAACACGGGAAAACUCACUAGUUUAAGACAAGAGUAGGAUUGACAGAUUAAUAGCUCUUUCUUGAUUUCUUGGAUGGUGAUGCAUGGCCGUUUUUAGUUCGUGAAUAUGAUUUGUCUGGUUAAUUCCGAUAACGAACGAGAUCUUAACCUGCUAAUUAGCGGCAAAUACGAUAUAUUCUUAUGUGGAAUUGAAUAUAGUUGAUUUGCUUAUUUUGAAGAAAAUAUUGGGAUACGUAAAUGUAUCCCUUUCCCUUUUCUACUUAAUUCGCUUAUCAUACUAUUUCUUUUUUGGGUAAGAAUGUAUUUGCUUGAUUGUAAAGCUUCUUAGAGGAACGAUGUGUGUCUGACACAAG